UGGCGCGGUGCGCGGCGCUGCCCCUUCUUCCGCGCCGCGCCUGCCCUGCGGGUUAUAAAACCGGGCCGCCGCCUCCCGACACACCCCCACCUCCCCGCCCCGCCGCGCUUCCUCCUCGGCUCCAAAGUCCCCCGACCGACCGCCGCGCGGGCCUAACGGAGCGGGGCGGGGACCGAGGCUUCCUGGCCCGCCCCGGGUAGGGGCGCUGGCUCGGGUGAGGGGCCGAAGCGGCCUUCUGCAAGAGGCAGCCCGUGGGUGGCGAAUGGGCCUUAGGUCAGGCUUUCCCAGGGGAGGCUAGAAAGGGGUACCGCUCCCAAAACACACGGCGCUGAAGCUGAGGGACCCAGCAGUUUGCUAGAACCCCCAAGCCUGCCCAGCGCGCCCCUCCUUCCGUCACACAGCCCGGCGCAGGGAACCCAGAGCCCAGCGCUCUCGGACGGGCAACCUUCCGGCCUAAUCGCCCCAGGCCUCUGUGGGGCUGGGAGUGACAAGGUGGGGGAGCUGUCCGCAGUGCCGCUAGGGCAGCAAGACAGGGUUAGGGAUCGUCACCGGCCCGGCUUCUUCACUAGGAUUGGGGGGAAGAGGGUGUGGCCUGCACGGGUCGGGGAGAGUUUAGGCUCCUGCAGGGCCUAGGGCGAUGCUCAGAGCCCUCAGCUCACCUGGGGACUGGAUGCCAGCGAUGUCAGCAAGAGGGAAAGAAUGAGGGGGCGGGGCCGAGAGGCCCGGAAACGCGGGCACACUUGCUUUCUUCCACUGGGGACACAGGCUGCCAUUAGCUCUGGCAGAAACCAUCACACAGACUUGCCGCCUUUGAGAGCUACAAAGAUGAGCACAGAGAUGAAACAGAAAGCAGUUUCCACUGGGCAGCACAAGGAUGGGAGCGGAGGCUGAAGAGCCGCAGCUGCCGAGUCAAGUCAGGCAGGCGGACUUCCGCUUAAGGAAGGUCUCGAGUUGGGCAGUGCCAAGACCUCAGCUCUACUCCAGCGCCAUCGGUGAAGGGGGACCCCCAGUCCGCUCUCCCUCCUGCCACCACGAGACCCUUUGCCCUUUUCUCUGCCUGCCUCCUGCAGCUUGAUCAGACAUCCACCUGAGAACCUUCCAGGAGGUGUGGAGUCCCUUCCCACUCCUGGGCCCAGUGGAGUCCCAGCUUCGACCACUGUCAGGUGCAUGAGGGAGUGACAGCAGCUCUCUGAUGGUCAGCUGGCAAGAGAGGCACUGGGGUUUCUGGGAGAAACCUCCUUGCAGAGGAAGCUGGAUGGGGCCUGGCUCAGUGGUGGGCCCACCCAGACCCAAUCAUCUUGCAGUGCCCCCAGCACUCGCACAGCAGGUCUUCAGUAUUUGCUGACUGACUCAAUGACUGACAGAUUCCAGGAGCAAAGUGGGAAGGUGGGAUGGAGGAUGCGACUGGGACACAAACCUCCUCAUGGUUUCCUUCCAGGUAACACCAAAGCAAUGGAUUACUGUCUCCCUAGCACCUGCGACAACGUCUGCCACAGACACAACCAACGUUGGGGUCAACCCAGGACUCACAGCCUGAGACGUCCGGCAGCCCAAUUCUCUUGCAUUCUGGAGGUCCCAGGUGACUCACUGUCGUCACUGAAAGCCUUGUGGUCAGUCCCCGCCUCGCUGCUACUCGCCACUGUCGCCGCUGCGCUGCUGGAUGCGCUGGCGGCUCCUGCUCCAGCUACUGAUUUUCUGGCCACCUCCGCUGCCCGUGAGGCUAGAAUACAGCAUUGUCCCCUGACCCGAGUGAUUAUUAGAAUUCCAUUUUAAGCUCAUCAAAGUAGGCAUGCACUUUCAGAUUCAGACACGUUUUCUUUUCAAGGAAGGUGGAGCAAGUUCCCCAGGGAGAGGCCUGAGGAUGCCGCCCCCUGCUGAAGGCCGAGCUCGCCCUCGCUGUACAGCUGGGCCAGAUGUGUCCUUUGACUACCUGCCACUCCAGCGCCGGGCCCACCUCCCAGAGCCGGCGCAGGCUUUGGUUCAGGAGAGUCGGCUCCUGUUCCGGCAGUACUGCUUGGGCCUCCUCCUCUGCUUUCCAGCCAACACUCCGGUCUCUGCUGUCCCUCUGCCACAUGAAUCCCUGCUGGCCCUCUGCCACAUGAAUCCCUGCUGGCCCUUCAGCUUUAUGCCAUGCCCCCAAAGCCUGCCCUGACCCUCACAUCAGGUUAAUCGCCCUUUCUAUGCACUGGUAGGGUCUGAAGAGUACAGGGCUGUGCCUGUCCUGUUCAUUGUCACAUCCCCAAUGUCACCUUGUGCUGAGCACAUUGAAGUGACUGGAUAAAAACUGUUUUAAAGAGUGAACAAAUUGUGUGUGUUGGCAUCUUACAGGCCUUAGGGAUGGGGAGCCCCAUAUCCAAUGCCUCUGGUAUUCCCUGCAGCUCAAGGUUAAGGCCUCUGCCUAAAGCACCUGUGGAACAGGAGCUAAGUGGGUGUUUCAGCCUGCUGAGGGUAGGGAAGCUCUGCUAGGAGGGGCCAGAACUGCUCGAAGGCCCUCCUGUCCUCCCCACACAAGAACAAGGGUAGGACUGACAGAGAAAAUACAGGACACCCAGUCACAUGUGCAUUUUGGAUAAACAUUGAAUAUAUUUUAAGUAUAUUGUUUGUCAUAUGUGGGACAUACUUAUGCCCCAAAAAAUUAAAUUCAAAUUUAAUCAGGCAUCUUGGGGUUUCUUCCUUCUUUCUAGGUCUUGGAACCCUAUCAAGGCAGACGUGAUCCACCAGGUGCUAGAGGAUCUGGGGUCCUUUUCCAAGGGACAUUCUGCACAUUGUCUGGGUUCCUCUUGCUCUUUAUAAACACUUUUGGCCAAAGAACAGGGCGAGCUCAAAGCUGGUUUCCCAGGGCCGUCACUAGCACACUUAAUCCAAGGUAUUGCCCUACAUCUCGACCCCUGACCCCAGCUACUGGACGUGAUAGUCCACGCAGGCCUUUCUGAAGAGGGGCUGUUUGUGUUGAGAUUUGAAGGAAUGAGUCAAGUGAUGAUGGAGAGAACAUUCCAGAGGAGGACGGGAGUGAACUUGGUGAGUCUGAGGAACAGAAAGGCUAGUGCCGUGAGUGUGGAAAAAGAAGGUUUGCAUGGAAAAGCUUGAGCCACAACUCUGGUCCCCAAGAAGGGGUCUAAAAGGCUGUACUCCUGGUCGAUCACCGCCUCCAGCUGUAACGUGAUGCUUUUCUGGUCUCCAAGGCAGCAGGGAUGGGGAAGGAAGAGAAUGGGUGUCUGCCAUCGUGGCUGGGGGGUUCUGGCAGCAGGGGGCCAGGCCAUGGGGCCCUGGUGCUUGACUGCAGUUUGGUGGGUUCACUACUCUUAAAAAUGGCAGGAUGGAGCCAUGAGUCCUUAGAGCUAAGUCCCAUGUGAACAGUCCCUGUGGAGGCACCCUAGCUUAGACAGCCACCUCCAUCCCCUUCUGAGAGCCCUGCUAAGGGGAAAGUGCUGCAGCCCAGGGCUGAAGGGACAUGGGGUGGGUGGGGAGGACCCAAAGGGCUCCAAGCCACCUCAGCAGGUGGCUUUGGAAGGGGCUAAAAGCCCUGCAUCAGGAAGCUCAAAUCAAGUCCCCAGCAAGCUCUGCACUUCUCUGCAGCCCUGCCCACCCCAGUCCUCCUCCUCCAAACCGAAAUAUGCAGGCCAAACAAUGGGAAAUGGCUCCGCUCCAAAGAUUCAACUCACAAGGCACGUGUUGCCUCCUGUUUGCCUGCUGGUAUGUGAAGGAAGCUGUUUCUUAAUUUAAAAUGUCCUUUAACUCCCUCCAGCUGGAAAGCUACCCCAACAAAACUUAUGUUUGUGGAGGAUUUAAGCUCUGUCACUCUGAGGGGGUGGGCCCAGCUGGGUUUGCCCCAUCUGGAGCUGUGCCCAGGCUAGUGGGCACCCUGGUGUCUUGCCAUGCCCUUAAGAGUCUGUUCUCUCUGUAAGGGGGUAUUGGUUCCCCAAGGCCCACCCUGGCCAGGGCUUUCUGGGAGCCAUCAGCCAGGCUCAUGGGAAGCACGCAGCCCUAGGGGAGGGGGAGGAGCGUGGGGGUGGAGGAGGGGUGUCCUUUUGCUGAGGCUCAUUUAUGUUUGGGGGGGGAGAGAAAGCCCCCUUUCCUUACUUCUGCCAGGCCCUUGGUGAGUC